rnacentral:lncRNA from 1 species
GGCUUUUAAAAGACAGCCUGCACCUUAGUCAUUGCGCAAUUGAGGAUUUUCUGCUCUAAAUCAUUUGAUCUUGUUUACUAAAGAUGUUUGUACUAGGCUAUAUAUUGGGGGCAGCAGGUAGCCUAGUGGUUAGAGCGUAGGGCCAGUAACCAGAUCGAAUCCCCGAGCUGACAAGGAUCUUUGGAGUCAAGCCAAGAUGUGACCGUCAUGUUUUAGAUAGAAAACAGAACCCCUGUUUCUAUAGAAACAGAAAUAAUUGACAAUUAGAAAACUAUUAUUCCUAAAAUGCACUCCUCUAGCCGAACCUUCGCUCCGCCCUCGAGGCCUCGUCGCAUCGACACGAGCAGGCGGACCACCACCGCAGCGGAACCAAAGACACACGGCCCUGUUUCCCAGAGGGAAGACAAAAACAUGAACACCAUUUCCUCUCCUCGGCGCUCCACCAAAGCGACCCCCGAGUCUUCCAGGACCAGGGUGGGGGUCCAGCCUCGUGCCCCCAGAUUGGGCUUACAGAGAAACACAGCUCCCCUCUCUACGACCAAACCCAAACCCAAAAGUGUCCGUGCAGCAGCAGCUGUGUCCAAACGCGCCCCUCCUCCUCCUCCUCUUCCUCUUCUUCCUCAUCUGGACCCCAACUGUAAUGAACCCAGCCUGCCUUGUCUGUGCUGCGACGGCCAUUCCCCCCAGGACAAUAACAGUCUGUUCAACCACAACCACAACAACAACAAUACCAUCUCCAUCAGACAGCAGCUGAAGCUUCAGCCCCCUCCACCACCUCCCCUGCUACCCCAGAGACAGGAGGGGACAGGGGGCAAGACCAAGACACAGGCCAGCCCCUCUCAGACCAGGCCCCAGCCUCAGGUCCUGGCCCCGGCCUGCCCCCCUAAUGGCCUGGAACUGGAGAAAGGAAUAAAAGAUGAGGAGAAUGCAGAUGUUAACAAGAACACAGAUGUGGUCAUAGAUAACAAGAAAGAAACAGAGGAAGAGAUGGAUAACAAGAAAGAAAUGGAGGAAGAGAUGGAUAACAAGAAAGAAACGGAGGAAGAGAUGGAUAACAAGAAAGAAACAGAGGAGGAAGAGAUGGAUAACAAGAAAGAAACAGAGGAAGAGAUGGAUAACAAGAAAGAAACAGAGGAGGAAGAGAUGGAUAACAAGAAAGAAA